rnacentral:rRNA from 1 species
UACAGAGGUCUCAAGCGUUGUUCGGAUUCAUUGGGCGUAAAGGGUGCGUAGGUGGCGGGGUAAGUUGGAUGUGAAAUCCCGGGGCUCAACCCCGGAACUGCAUUCAAUACUGCCUUGCUGGAGUACUGGAGAGGAGAUUGGAAUUCAUGGUGUAGCAGUGAAAUGCGUAGAUAUCAUGAGGAAGACCAGUGGCGAAGGCGGAUCUCUGGACAGUUACUGACACUGAGGCACGAAGGCCAGGGGAGCAAACGGG